rnacentral:rRNA from 1 species
AGGUAGUGACGAAAAAUAACGAUACGGGACUCAUCCGAGGCCCCGUAAUCGGAAUGAGUACACUCUAAACCCUUUAACAAAAAUCAAUUGGAGGGCAAGUCUGGUGCCAGCCGCCGCGGUAAUUCCAGCUCCAAUAGCGUAUAUUAAAGUUGUUGCGGUUAAAAAGCUCGUAGUCGAACUUGUGUCCCGCGCCGCUGGUUCAUCGCUCGCGGUGCCAACUGGCGUGUUCGCGGGACGUCCUGCCGGUGGGCUCAUCGAAUUGAUCGUUUCGGCGGUCGUUCGUGGCCCAACUCGUAUCCGUCUCGUGCGGGUGCGAAUCCCAUCGCGGUGCUCUUUAUUGAGUGUCGAGGUGGGCCGGCACGUUUACUUUGAACAAAUUAGAGUGCUUAAAGCAGGCCAAUUUUGCCUGAAUAUUGUGUGCAUGGAAUAAUGGAAUAGGACCUCGGUUCUAUUUUGUUGGUUUUCGGAACCCCGAGGUAAUGAUUAAUAGGAACGGAUGGGGGCAUUCGUAUUGCGACGUUAGAGGUGAAAUUCUUGGAUCGUCGCAAGACGGACAGAAGCGAAAGCAUUUGCCAAAAACGUUUUCAUUGAUCAAGAACGAAAGUUAGAGGUUCGAAGGCGAUCAGAUACCGCCCUAGUUCUAACCAUAAACGAUGCCAGCUAGCGAUCCGCCGACGUUCCUCCGAUGACUCGGCGGGCAGCUUCCGGGAAACCAAAGCUUUUGGGUUCCGGGGGAAGUAUGGUUGCAAAGCUGAAACUUAAAGGAAUUGACGGAAGGGCACCACCAGGAGUGGAGCCUGCGGCUUAAUUUGACUCAACACGGGAAAGCUUAUCAGGCCCAGACACCGGAAGGAUUGACAGAUUGAGAGCUCUUUCUUAAUUCGGUGGGUGGUGGUGCA